rnacentral:pre_miRNA from 1 species
AAAUGAGUCACCUGAGGAUCUUGUUAAAAUUAAGAUUCUGAUUCUAGGUUUGUGGAAGGGCUCAAGAUUCUGCAUUUAUGACAAGCUCCCAUGUGAUUCUGAU